rnacentral:rRNA from 1 species
UGAGGGAUAUUGGUCAAUGGGCGCAAGCCUGAACCAGCGACGCCGCGUGGGUGAAGAAGGUCUUCGGAUCGUAAAGCCCUUUUCCCACUGAAGAGGAAGGACGGUAGGUGGGGAAGAAGUCUCGGCUAACUACGUGCCAGCAGCCGCGGUAAAACGUAGGAGACAAGCGUUAUCCGGAGUUACUGGGCGUAAAGGGCGUGCAGGUGGCGUCUUAAGUCUGUUGUGAAAGCGCCUGGCUUAACCGGGCGAGGCCAAUGGAGACUGAGAGGCUGGAGGACGGCGGAGGGGUGUGGAAUUCCGGGUGUAGUGGUGAAAUGCGUAGAGAUCCGGAGGAACACCAGAGGCGAAGGCGGCACUCUAGGCCGUACCUGACACUGAGACGCGACAGCACGGGGAGCAAACG